GCGAUUGUGGCGAAGUGGUUAACGCUCCGGAUUGUGGCUCCGGUAUUCGUGGGUUCGAUUCCCAUCAGUCGCCCCA
rnacentral:tRNA from 1 species